rnacentral:rRNA from 1 species
AUGGCCCCGAUCCCGCACCCCAGCCCGUGCUCGCCUCCGUGCUCCUCACCACACGCCACGACAUCAUCGACGACCUCCUCCAUACCGGCGAGCUUGCGGCGGCAGGCGCAGGCCCUCACUGGCCAGACCACCAAGUGGUACGCCUGCUGCACCAUCGAGCCGGUCCCGGACGACGAGAUAGAUCCUGGAUCCAACCAGUACUCCAGGCUGGAAGAGUACCCUGAGGACGAGAGCGACUGCGAGUCCAGCGUGGACACCGGCGACGAGGACAUGGAGAACACCAAGUUCCUCCAGCCUCACACGCACGUGAUCUCCUUCCAGAAGAGGCAGGCACUAGUGACGUACCUGGAGAACAACAAGGCCGACAUCACCGUGUUCGGGUUCACGCUGGACCGGUCGUACCUCCACACCAUAACAGUCGACUUCUCGUGA